rnacentral:rRNA from 1 species
CGCUAGCAGCAUACUUUACACAUGCUAGUUUAUGUUUAAAAGCAUAGCGCACAGGUGAGUAAUACAUGAGAAUUUGCCUUUAAAAAUUAUAAAGUCGUAUUUAAUUUUUAAAUUAAAGAAUACUUCGGUAGCGAAAAUAAGUUAAAAAACGUUUAAAGAUAAGCUCUUGCAGGAUUAGGUUGUUGGUAGGGUAAAGGCCUACCAAGCCAAUGAUCCUUAGUUGGUCUGAGAGGACGAUCAGCCACACUGGGACUGAGACAAGGCCCAGGCUUUAGCCAGCAGUGGGGAAUAUUGGACAAUGGGCGAAAGCCUGAUCCAGUAAUGCUGCGUAAGUGAGGACAGCACAAAAGAUUAAUUUUUGGAAACAAUAUUAAUUGGCUGUAAAACUUUUUCGUUAAUGAGGAUGUUGACUGUAGUUAAAAAAGAAGCCCCGGCUAAC